CUGUGCACACCACUGCUGACAAAAGAUCUGUAAAUAUCUACACUGGAAUGUAUGCAAGGAACUACAGGUGGAAGUAAAGGAAAACAUCUGGGAGCAUCAACCAGCACCAGUCUCAUGCAAUGGAAAUGUAUCCAUCUCCU